rnacentral:rRNA from 1 species
AUGAGACGUCGAAACUGGGCUGGCAACCCACGGUGUUCCUUCUGCGAUUGCAGGGAAACUUAUCUGCACUUAUUUUUCAUUUGCCCUAUUGCGAGGGUAGUUUGGCGCACGGUGGGUGCGAUGCUUGGAACUGAUCUUUUCCCUAACAACUUAUGUCAAUUUUACUCUUGGUGUUAUGCUUUUCUUCCUCAUGGUGAGAGACACUUUACUGUGGGGCUAGCGGCUGUUUGCUGGGCCAUUUGGAACCGCAGAAAUCAGGCUACUUUUGAAUUCAAUAAGUUGUCGUCUCCUUUUGAGAUUGUCUUCAUGGCCUGCACACAUCUAUCUUACUGGGCAGGUCUGCUGAAAGGCGAGGAGCGAGCGGAGCUAGAGCAUGGCGCGGCGCUUCUGAAGAGGAAUGCUAAGGAGCUGAUGAGUCUCUGCACAACUGCAUACACGGGAACCACCCUGGGAUGA